AGAACUUCAGAUAUUCUACAAUAAACCGGCUCACUGAUUUCACGCAGUAAAUAUACGGACCUUUCACCAUCCGGAGAUGGUGUCUCAGCUCUUGUUCCUGUUUUUAGUGUUACCGGUCGGUUUUACAGAUAUGGCGUCCGUGCUGAUCCAACAGACUCCAGCUUACAUUACCGGUUCCCCGGGCACUCCAGUCAGCAUCGAGUGCCUUUACACAAAAGCCAGUGCUAGCAGCUAUUUCUACUGGUACCGAUGGUACCCUGACCGUGAGCCUCGGAAUCUUUUCUAUUCCAGCACCGUUGGCAAGGUCAUUCCCUCCGGUGAGGUGGACGGUUUCACCGCGACAAGACGCGACAACACCCGUUUCUAUCUGGAAUCCUCCGGCUUGCGGGCGAAUCACUCGGCUAUGUAUUAUUGUGCCUGGAGUAAACACAUCGACUCAAAGAGACGGAAGAGUUCAACAAAAACCCCAACGGGACUAAACUAUAACUGCAAAAUGUUGGCAGAGGCGAUGCACGAAUGCCCAAUUCUGGUGUCGAUGAACAGAGGCGAGCCAGCAGCAUGA